rnacentral:rRNA from 1 species
GACGAACGCUGGCGGCGUGCUUAACACAUGCAAGUCGAACGGAAAGGCCCUGCUUUUGUGGGGUGCUCGAGUGGCGAACGGGUGAGUAACACGUGAGUAACCUGCCCCUGACUUUGGGAUAACUUCAGGAAACUGGGGCUAAUACCUGAUAGGAGCUCCUGCUGCAUGGUGGGGGUUGGAAAGUUUCGGCGGUUGGGGAUGGACUCGCGGCUUAUCAGCUUGUUGGUGGGGUAGUGGCUUACCAAGGCUUUGACGGGUAGCCGGCCUGAGAGGGUGACCGGCCACAUUGGGACUGAGAUACGGCCCAGACUCCUACGGGAGGCAGCAGUGGGGAAUAUUGCACAAUGGGCGGAAGCCUGAUGCAGCAACGCCGCGUGCGGGAUGACGGCCUUCGGGUUGUAAACCGCUUUCGCCUGUGACGAAGCGUGAGUGACGGUAAUGGGUAAAGAAGCACCGGCUAACUACGUG